UACGGGGGGUGCGAGCGUUGUCCGGAAUCACUGGGCGUAAAGGGCGCGUAGGUGGUUUGAUAAGCGUGCGGUGAAAGCUCGGGGCUCAACCCCGAGUCGGCCGUGCGAACUGCUGGGCUCGAGCACUGUAGAGGCAGGCGGAAUUCCGGGUGUAGGCGGUGGAAUGCGUAGAGAUCCGGAAGAACACCGGUGGCGAAGGCGCCCACCUGGCCUGCUACUGACGCUGAAGCUCGAAAGCUAGGGAG
rnacentral:rRNA from 1 species